GGAAAAGGAGACUAAGGUACGACUGAAGACACAAUUAUGGUGAGCGGUUAACUCUGGUUGUUGGAAAAAUAGUAAAAAAUAAAUCGAAAUGUAUGAAAGGACAAAUCCUUAAUGAUCUAACUAGAAUCCUAAACGUUACCUUAGAGAUUUCAACCAGAAGGAUUGUAAAGUUAAGAAUCCAUGAAUGAUAAAGAUCCAUGUAGCAUUAAACUUACUGAC
rnacentral:sRNA from 1 species